UGAGAAGAAAUAUGUAGCUGCAAAAACUUAUUUUACAUUGCCAAUGUCACAGAUUUACCUUGGUGCAUUUGCAUUAUGAUAUUACAUGCCUUGUAAUUUGUCUAUCUUCAGGUACACAAAAAAUAUGAUCUAGUGACUCUGCAUUAUCCUAAUGAGUUUUAAUUCACUACUAAUGGAAUUAUAUAAGAGCUGUUAAGUCUUGAGUUCGAGUCUCCACCAAAACAAGUUGAGAAAAAAAAAGGCAACCCUAUGCCGUAUGAUAAUCCUGAAUGCUCCUUUCCUCAGAAAAGGAAAAAAGAAAAAAAUCAUGAGUCCUCCAUAUACUAAUGAAAUCAAGUAUUCGGUAUUGAAAGAGUACAAGAACCAUUUUUUUUUCUUCCUUCACAUUCCAGCACUAACAGUGAACUCAGUUUUAUCACAUGAAUGAUCUAUAGAAAUUCAGUAAAGACGAUUGGAAAAUAUUCCUGCAACAAUUAUAAAUGGCGCCACCCCGCCAGGUUCCUCUCUUUGGAUUAGCUACUGUCAAUAUUGUCUCAAGAAGACUUUGGCUUUGACCUCCAUAUUUGCAUCAAUUAAACUUGAUCGAAUUUUACUGUCAAUGUUCUUGUUAAAGCUAUUUACCAUCAAUGCCGCUUGCAAUGGAUUCAAAUUUCAAGUCAGCAAUGUUGUUAAAGCUAUUUACCAUCAACACGGCUUACGAGGGAGACCAACUCGAUAUUCUCAUUUUCUGGAGUUUCAUUUCUCUCCUCUGUACCUAAGAUUUCACUUGGAAGUACAGAAGCAUUGGGAUCACCUCUGGGAACCAAAAAUAUCAGACACAGUGGACUGACUCUCAAAAUGCUCCGUACUAUAAUGGCCAGCCACAAGUUAUCAAACUUUGUACGAGUGACAUCCAAUAAAUGAAGUAGAAGGCCUCCUCCCCAAGAAGAUGUUAGAAGUCCCACAUUAUCAAUUGACAUGAGGAGAGCAAAGAAAGUGCCUUCAAUACCACGGGGACAAAGCUUGGAACUGAGCACAAGAAGAGGCAUCCACUUGAGAUUUCCAAUCAUCCGAGAGACACUCUCAUCAAUCACAAUGAAGACAUAAUCUGGUAUGCCAAAUUUCAAGUUCAGUCGCAGCACCAUUAUCAAAUCUAGGAUGCCUGACAAACCAAAUAGCAACUGACUCCAGAAAAGCAGGUUUCUGAAAGGAUAAUCCUUCAGAACAUUUUGGUAUAGAAUUGCUCCUAAGAGAGAUCCAACUGAACCAACUGAAAAUAUGAAACCUAUGGUCUCCUGCACAAGGCAUUGGCAUAUGAUUAAUUUUACCAACAUUACAAGCAACAAAAGCUGGUUUAACAGUAUUGAGAUACAAAAAAAAUUAAUUAUAGCAAGGACAACUUUUCCCUGGAUUCUAGCCAAAUUUACUCACUCAUUGCCUUCUAACUCCUGCAGGAUGUUUUCCUGAUUAUUCCCUGCUUGUGAACCCAAAAGAGUUCCACAAAGGAGUCCUAGGUAUUUUAGUUUUAUGAUAAAGUACUCAUUUUUCUAGAGAACUAGAGAAAAGAAGUGUAGAAUCACAUAUACCUGGGAGAAAGAUGGUCCCUCUUUUGAAUCUGUAUACCAGUAGAACAUCCCCUCAUGAAUAUUCACACUCAAUGCAAAGGAUAAAUACAUAUAUAAACAUGGUCGCCACACAUCUGGGAAUUUUAAUGUUGUCCACAUAGCCUUACCAGCA
rnacentral:misc_RNA from 1 species